GACGAACGCUGGCGGCGUGCUUAACACAUGCAAGUCGAACAGUAAGGCCCCUUCGGGGGUACACGCGUGGCGAACGGGUGAGUAACACGUGAGCAACCUGCCCUUGACUCUGGAAUAACAGUUGGAAACAGCUGCUAAUACUGGAUAUUCAUCGUCUCCUUCCUGGGGGGUGGUGGAAGGCUCCGGCGGUCAGGGAUGGGCUCGCGGCCUAUCAGCUUGUUGGUGAGGUAAUGGCUCACCAAGGCUUCGACGGGUAGCCGGCCUGAGAGGGGGACCGGCCACACUGGGACUGAGAUACGGCCCAGACUCCUACGGGAGGCAGCAGUGGGGAAUAUUGCACAAUGGGCGCAAGCCUGAUGCAGCAACGCCGCGUGCGGGAUGACGGCCGUCGGGUUGUAAACCGCUUUCAGUAGGGACGAAGGGUGACUGACGGUACCUACAGAAGAAGGACCGGCUAACUACGUG
rnacentral:rRNA from 1 species